UCUAAUUUGGCAGAUGAAGUGCAGUAGAUUUAAACUCUUCAUAUAAAGUUCAACCUUUUUUUAGAA
rnacentral:tRNA from 1 species